GAUGAACGCUGGCGGCGUGCCUAACACAUGCAAGUCGAACGUGAGAGAUUAGCAAUAAUCUUGAAAGUGGCGCACGGGUGAGUAAGACGUAGGUGACCUGCCUUGGAGUGGGGGAUAACAGCUGGAAACGGCUGCUAAUACCGCAUGAAGCUAUUUUGCUGGGAAGCGAGAUGGUGAAAACUCUGGUGCUUCAAGAGGGGCCUGCGGCCGAUUAGCUAGUUGGCGGGGUAAGAGCCCACCAAGGCGACGAUCGGUAGCUGGUCUGAGAGGACGAUCAGCCACACGGGAACUGAGACACGGUCCCGACUCCUACGGGGGGCAGCAGUGAGGAAUAUUGGGCAAUGGGCGCAAGCCUGACCCAGCAACGCCGCGUGGAGGAAGACGGCCUUCGGGUUGUAAACUCCUUUUACGGGGGAAGAGGAAGGACGGUACCCCGUGAAUAAGUCACGGCUAACUACGUGCCAGCAGCCGCGGUAAUACGUAGGUGACAAGCGUUAUCCGGAAUUACUGGGCGUAAAGCGCACGCAGGCGGCGCGCUAAGUCUGAUGUGAAAUCUCCCGGCUUAACUGGGAGGGGUCAUUGGAAACUGACGCGCUUGAGGCGGUGAGAGGGGUGUAGAAUUCCCGGUGUAGUGGUGGAAUGCGUAGAUAUCGGGAGGAAUACCAGUGGCGAAAGCGGCACCCUGGCACUAGCCUGACGCUCAUGUGCGAAGGCGUGGGGAGCGAACGGGAUUAGAUACCCCGGUAGUCCACGCGGUAAACGAUGAAUACUAGGUGUGGGUGGAGUGAAAUCCAUCUGUGCCGAAGCAAACGCGCUAAGUAUUCCGCCUGGGGAGUACGGCCGCAAGGCUAA
rnacentral:rRNA from 1 species